rnacentral:rRNA from 1 species
AGAUUGAACGCUGGCGGCAGGCCUAACACAUGCAAGUCGAGCGGCAGCACGGGUACUUGUACCUGGUGGCGAGCGGCGGACGGGUGAGUAAUGCCUAGGAAUCUGCCUGGUAGUGGGGGAUAACGCUCGGAAACGGACGCUAAUACCGCAUACGUCCUACGGGAGAAAGCAGGGGACCUUCGGGCCUUGCGCUAUCAGAUGAGCCUAGGUCGGAUUAGCUAGUUGGUGGAAGUAGUCGCUACCAACGAGACGACGUACGUACCGUAGUGUC